UACGUAGGUGGCAAGCGUUGUCCGGAUUUACUGGGCGUAAAGAGCGCGCAGGCGGUCGAAUAAGUCGAAUGUGAAAGCCCCCGGCUUAACUGGGGAGGGUCAUUCGAUACUGCUCGACUUGAAGGCAGGAGAGGGUAGUGGAAUUCCCGGUGUAGUGGUGAAAUGCGUAGAUAUCGGGAGGAACACCAGUGGCGAAGGCGACUACCUGGCCUGUUCUUGACGCUGAGGCGCGAAAGCUAGGGGAGCAAACGGG
rnacentral:rRNA from 1 species